rnacentral:rRNA from 1 species
UAGGGAAUCUUCCGCAAUGGGCGAAAGCCUGACGGAGCAACGCCGCGUGAGUGAUGAAGGUCUUCGGAUCGUAAAACUCUGUUAUUAGGGAAGAACAAAUGUGUAAGUAACUAUGCACGUCUUGACGGUACCUAAUCAGAAAGCCACGGCUAACUACGUGCCAGCAGCCGCGGUAAUACGUAGGUGGCAAGCGUUAUCCGGAAUUAUUGGGCGUAAAGCGCGCGUAGGCGGUUUUUUAAGUCUGAUGUGAAAGCCCCCGGCUCAACCGUAGAGGUUCAUUGGAGACUGGAAAACUUGAGUGCAGAAGAGGAAAGUGGAAUUCCAUGUGUAGCGGUGAAAUGAGCAGAGAUAUGGAGGAACACCAGUGGCGGAGGCGACUUUCUGGUCUGUAACUGACGCUGAUGUGCGAAAGCGUGGGGAUCAAACAGG